rnacentral:rRNA from 1 species
UGAGGAAUAUUGGUCAAUGGGCGCAAGCCUGAACCAGCCAUCCCGCGUGCAGGAAGACGGCCCUAUGGGUUGUAAACUGCUUUUCCAGGGAGAGAAACUUGCGCACGUGUUGCGCAAUUGACGGUACCCUGGGAAUAAGCAUCGGCUAAUUCCGUGCCAGCAGCCGCGGUAAUACGGAGGAUGCGAGCGUUAUCCGGAUUCAUUGGGUUUAAAGGGUGCGUAGGCGGACUAUUAAGUCAGUGGUGAAAUCCUGCAGCUUAACUGCAGAACUGCCAUUGAUACUGAUAGCCUUGAGUUUGGUUAAGGUAGGCGGAAUGUGUAAUGUAGCGGUGAAAUGCUUAGAUAUUACACAGAACACCAAUUGCGUAGGCAGCUUACUGAGCCGACACUGACGCUGAGGCACGAAAGCGUGGGGA